rnacentral:rRNA from 1 species
AUUGAACGCUGGCGGCAUGCCUAACACAUGCAAGUCGAACGGCAGCACGGUCUAGUUUACUAGAUGGGUGGCGAGUGGCGGACGGGUGAGUAAUGCGCAGGAAUAUGCCUUAAAGUGGGGGACAACUUGGGGAAACUCAAGCUAAUACCGCGUAAUCUCUGAGGAGAAAAGCUGGGGACCUUCGGGCCUGGCGCUUUAAGAUUAGCCUGCGUCCGAUUAGCUAGUUGGUAGGGUAAAGGCCUACCAAGGCGACGAUCGGUAGCUGGUCUGAGAGGAUGACCAGCCAUACUGGAACUGAGAAACGGUCCAGACUCCUACGGGAGGCAGCAGUGGGGAAUAUUGUACAAUGGGGGCAACCCUGAUCCAGCAAUGCCGCGUGUGUGAAGAAGGCCUGAGGGUUGUAAAGCACUUUCAGUGGGGAGGAGGAUUGAUAGGUUAAGAGCUAAUUAAUUGGACGUUACCCACAGAAGAAGCACCGGCUAACUCCGUGCCAGCCGCCGCGGUAA